AUGCAGGGUCGGUGUGCGCCACUCCCAGGGGCAGGCACCGUGUCCUGCAGCCCAGGGGAGGCUGCUCCGUGCCUUUUGCUUGUAACCUAAGAGUUUCCCGGAAGAAACAAUGAACGUGGCCGCCAUGCGCCAGGGCAGGGCCGUCCCCUGCUCUCAAGGGGCGGGUGGGAGGUGAUAACGUCUCAGCAGGUUCAUUCCAGCACUCAAGUCAGUGUUGCCCAACCCUGGGGUUGCAGCCGGCAUGGACCAGAGUGAGGGGCUGCUGCCCGCCUGGGAGGGGGAGGCCAGGGCCUCCCACGCACACCGUCCACGGAGAUGACCCUCAGCACUGCCCACAGGAAGGCUGCCCUCCAUGGAGACACACUCUGUGAGCUGGAGCAUCCACUGGCUGGGAACCCCGCGGAGCAUGUGACCAUGGACGGGCCCUCCGGGGACAAACCCAGACCCAGCCGAGGGCGGAUCCUGCGCAGCGCAGCCAGGACAAAGCAAGCAGCAGCCACCUGCUCCGGCCCCGAUGUCCUGCCUUCUCACCCCGGCCAGGGAGACGCACUGGGACGCUGCCACCGCCUCCAGCUCUCACCAGGAAGGAGCCCCCUGCUCUGCUAACUCUCACGCUUGGGAGUUUCUCAGGCCCAGACCCUCAGAUUUCUUCUUUCAAACCUCGUGGUUUUCUCACAAAAGCUGUGGGCAAGAGCCGAGGAGGGCUCCGUGUGAAUGGACGGGGCUCAGUCUCUGCAGGAAACAGGAAGCCGGGCUCUUCGGAAAGGGAACAGCCGCCUGCUCUUGGAU
rnacentral:lncRNA from 1 species